AUGUGGCUUUCAGCAGCUCCUCCUCCAUCUCUGGUAGCUAUUCUCCCGGCUAUGCCAAGAUAAACAAGAGAGGAGACAAUGGUAUCUGUUUGAACUGGGG
rnacentral:sRNA from 1 species